GGACAAAUGCAUCAAGGAGUGCAAUUAUAAUUGAAGCUAUUUCAAGUUUUCAGAAUGAAGAAGUUUUGGCUUUGUGCAGCGGCAAUACUUUCCUUGUGCAAUUUGUGGCUUAUAGAUUCUGACGUCUGCGGGAGUUUGUGUUACUGUUCUGCCCACCACUUUAGUUGCGGAUGGAAAGGUAUUAAUUCAACUCUACUACUGAACAUCAGCUUUCCAACGACCACGCGAUAUGUGUACAAUUUCAAGUAUGACACCUUCGACUAAUUGCAAUGCUAAUGAUAUUCAAU